rnacentral:rRNA from 1 species
AACUUAAAGGAAUUGGCGGGGAGGUACUACAACGGGUGACGCGUGCGGUUUAAUCAGAGUCUACACCGUGAAUCUCACCAGGAGCGACAGCAGAAUGAAGGUCAGUCUAAAGGGCUUACCUGACACGCUGAGAGGAGUUGCAUGGCCGACAUAAGCCUGUGCCGUGAGGUGACUUGUUAAAUCAAGUAACAGGCGAGACCCUCAUGUCUAAUUUCUACGAUAAGAGCACAUUAGACAGACUGCCUUGGUAACAAGGAGGAGGGUGGGGGCGAUGUUAGGUGAGUACAGCCCGAAUCCCCUGGGCAACACGCGCGCGGCAAUGUCACAUUCAGUGAGACGCAACUCCGAAAGGAGAAGCUAAUCUCGUAAAAUGUGACCUAGUUCAGAUUGAGGUUUGUAAUUCAACCUCAUGACGCUGGAAUCCGUAGUAAUCGUUCGUUAUCAGCGAACGGUGAAUACGUCACUGCCUCUUGCACACACUGCCCGUCAAACCAACCGAGUUAUGCUUUGAUGAGGCUCUUCGGAGACGAAUCUCCGUAUGACAAGGUAGGUUAAGUCGUCACAAGGUAUCUGUAGGGGAACCUGCAGAUGGAUCACCUCCU